GAUAACGAAUUAUGGAAAUGGGGUGAGUACCUGCAAAAGCCACUUCGACACUCUCAAGUCAGUGUUUGUGCAGCAGACUGUUAGUGAUCAAUUGAAUUUCUCGUACCUUUGCUGGAGGUCUAGUCGGGUUUUUAUAGCCCUUCGAGUCCUUGGGUUUAAACCCACUUCCCUAGCUUUGCGCAUCCCAUCCUCCACUUCAUGGUAAUGGAGUUCAAAUGAUCGGGUUGUGUCUCCCUCGCUUUGCACUUCUCUAGUGGGAGGGAAGUUCGAUCAUCCCGCGUCUUUUAAUCAUAGCAUAUGGGGUUAAGUCAUGACACGUGAGAUUUGGUCCCCACAAUACUCCCCUUUUU
rnacentral:lncRNA from 1 species